rnacentral:rRNA from 1 species
CCUACGAGGGGCAGCAGUGGGGAAUAUUGCACAAUGGGGGAAACCCUGAUGCAGCGACGCCGCGUGAGCGAUGAAGUAUUUCGGUAUGUAAAGCUCUAUCAGCAGGGAAGAAAAUGACGGUACCUGACUAAGAAGCCCCGGCUAACUACGUGCCAGCAGCCGCGGUAAUACGUAGGGGGCAAGCGUUAUCCGGCUUUACUGGGUGGAAAGGGAGCGUAGACGGUCCUGCAAGCCAGAUGUGAAAGCCCGGGGCUCAACCCCGGGACUGCAUUUGGAACUGUAAGGCUAGAGUGUCGGAGAGGCAGGCGGAAUUCCUAGUGUAGCGGUGAAAUGCGUAGAUAUUAGGAGGAACACCAGUGGCGAAGGCGGCCUGCUGGACGAUGACUGACGUUGAGGCUCGAAAGCGUGGGGAGCAAACAGGAUUAGAUACCCUUGUAGUC